rnacentral:rRNA from 1 species
UACGAAGGGGGCUAGCGUUGCUCGGAAUCACUGGGCGUAAAGGGUGCGUAGGCGGGUCUUUAAGUCAGGGGUGAAAUCCUGGAGCUCAACUCCAGAACUGCCUUUGAUACUGAAGAUCUUGAGUUCGGGAGGGGUGAGUGGAACUGCGAGUGUAGAGGUGAAAUUCGUAGAUAUUCGCAAGAACACCAGUGGCGAAGGCGGCUCACUGGCCCGAUACUGACGCUGAGGCACGAAAGCGUGGGGAGCAAACAGGG